UGUGUUCUUCGUCAUGGCAAAAUUUCAAACGAUACUCUUUAGAAGCAGAGGAUUACUUUGUAAACGAUAUUUCCGACCUUUGUCAUGUCCAACAUUGUUAUCAAGCACCAUUGAAAGAAAAGAAAAGGGAAAAUAUAUUCGAUAUGACUGCAUGUUUAAUUGCCUGUGGUGUUGAUCUGCAAAGUAGCAUUUUAUUUCAACAAUCAUCUUGGGAGAGAAGAUGAAGCCCAAAUAUCAUCAGUUAGUAAUGUGCCGAUAACAGAUGUUGUCAGCAAAACUUUUUGGCCGAUACAAUAAUGAUAUAGAUAAAUAAACUGUAAACUAUCCCACUUUAUUUUCUCUAAUCGAAGCUAA